rnacentral:rRNA from 1 species
AAACUAAAGAGUUUGAUCCUGGCUCAGAUUGAACGCUGGCGGCAUGCCUUACACAUGCAAGUCGAACGGCAGCAUAGGAGCUUGCUCCUGAUGGCGAGUGGCGAACGGGUGAGUAAUAUAUCGGAACGUGCCCUAGAGUGGGGGAUAACUAGUCGAAAGAUUAGCUAAUACCGCAUACGAUCUACGGAUGAAAGUGGGGGAUCGCAAGACCUCAUGCUCCUGGAGCGGCCGAUAUCUGAUUAGCUAGUUGGUGGGGUAAAAGCUCACCAAGGCGACGAUCAGUAGCUGGUCUGAGAGGACGACCAGCCACACUGGGACUGAGACACGGCCCAGACUCCUACGGGAGGCAGCAGUGGGGAAUUUUGGACAAUGGGGGCAACCCUGAUCCAGCAAUGCCGCGUGAGUGAAGAAGGCCUUCGGGUUGUAAAGCUCUUUUGUCAGGGAAGAAACGGUUGCAGCUAAUAUCUGCGACUAAUGACGGUACCUGAAGAAUAAGCACCGGCUAACUACGUGCCAGCAGCCGCGGUAAUACGUAGGGUGCAAGCGUUAAUCGGAAUUACUGGGCGUAAAGCGUGCGCAGGCGGUUGUGUAAGACAGAUGUGAAAUCCCCGGGCUCAACCUGGGAAUUGCAUUUGUGACUGCACGGCUAGAGUGUGUCAGAGGGGGGUAGAAUUCCACGUGUAGCAGUGAAAUGCGUAGAUAUGUGGAGGAAUACCGAUGGCGAAGGCAGCCCCCUGGGAUAACACUGACGCUCAUGCACGAAAGCGUGGGGAGCAAACAGGAUUAGAUACCCUGGUAGUCCACGCCCUAAACGAUGUCUACUAGUUGUCGGGUCUUAAUUGACUUGGUAACGCAGCUAACGCGUGAAGUAGACCGCCUGGGGAGUACGGUCGCAAGAUUAAAACUCAAAGGAAUUGACGGGGACCCGCACAAGCGGUGGAUGAUGUGGAUUAAUUCGAUGCAACGCGAAAAACCUUACCUACCCUUGACAUGGAUGGAAUCCCGAAGAGAUUUGGGAGUGCUCGAAAGAGAACCAUCACACAGGUGCUGCAUGGCUGUCGUCAGCUCGUGUCGUGAGAUGUUGGGUUAAGUCCCGCAACGAGCGCAACCCUUGUCAUUAGUUGCUACGAAAGGGCACUCUAAUGAGACUGCCGGUGACAAACCGGAGGAAGGUGGGGAUGACGUCAAGUCCUCAUGGCCCUUAUGGGUAGGGCUUCACACGUCAUACAAUGGUACAUACAGAGGGCCGCCAACCCGCGAGGGGGAGCUAAUCCCAGAAAGUGUAUCGUAGUCCGGAUUGGAGUCUGCAACUCGACUCCAUGAAGUUGGAAUCGCUAGUAAUCGCGGAUCAGCAUGUCGCGGUGAAUACGUUCCCGGGUCUUGUACACACCGCCCGUCACACCAUGGGAGCGGGUUUUACCAGAAGUGGGUAGCCUAACCGCAAGGAGGGCGCUCACCACGGUAGGAUUCGUGACUGGGGUGAAGUCGUAACAAGGUAGCCGUAUCGGAAGGUGCGGCUGGAUCACCUCCUUU